UUCUUUUUUUCUUUAGCAAAAUGUUCAUUGGAGGCCUGAGCUGGGACACAAGUAAGAAAGAUCUGACUGAAUAUCUUUCUCGUUUUGGAGAGGUCGUGGAUUGCACAAUUAAAACAGAUCCAGUAACUGGGCGGUCAAGGGGAUUUGGGUUUGUGCUCUUCAAAGAUGCUGCCAGUGUUGAGAAGGUGCUGGAGCUUAAGGAACACAAGUUGGAUGGCAAGUUAAUAGACCCCAAAAGGGCAAAAGCUUUGAAAGGAAAAGAGCCCCCCAAAAAAGUAUUUGUUGGUGGGCUGAGUCCAGACACAUCUGAAGAACAAAUAAAGGAGUACUUUGGUGCUUUUGGAGAGAUUGAAAAUAUUGAGCUUCCCAUGGACACAAAGACAAAUGAAAGAAGAGGCUUCUGUUUCAUCACGUAUACAGAUGAAGAGCCAGUAAAGAAAUUAUUGGAAAGCAGAUAUCAUCAAAUUGGUUCUGGAAAGUGUGAGAUCAAAGUAGCACAGCCCAAAGAAGUAUACAGACAGCAGCAACAGCAACAAAAAGGAGGAAAAGGAGCUUCAUCUGGUGGACGAGGUGGUGGCAGGGGCCGUGGCAGGGGUCAGGGACAAAGCUGGAAUCAAGGAUUUAAUAACUACUAUGAUCAAGGGUAUGGCAACUACAACAGUACUUACAGCGAUCAAAACUACAGUGGUUAUGGUGGAUACGAUUAUCCUGGGUACAACUAUGGAAACUAUAGCUAUGGACCAGGAUAUACAGAUUACAGUGGUCAGCAGAGCACAUAUGGAAAGGCAUCCCGAGGUGGCGGCAAUCACCAAAACAAUUACCAGCCAUAUUAAAGCAGUACUUGAAGCAGCAGCGGGAACUUCAUUGCAGGCCGUGUGUCACCCUGACCACGUCUCUCUGGGGUCGCACGUUGCAGGCAGAGCGCAAGGCAUACACCAGAAAACGCUGUCCUGUGGUGGAGAAGAUGAUACAGCAAAGCCAUCUUGCAGAAAAUCGAGACGGAAUGGAGGGUGGUCUUCGUGACGAGAUGACUAUUUUGUAAAAGACUUUUAGUGUAGACACAAUUGUGUCCAACUGUACAUAGCGGCUGACUUAGUUUUUCUUUAUGGCUUUUAUUUUGUCCUUUUGCCAUUCGUGUUAUGACACAAUGUGGAUUUGUGUUAAUACAACAUUUAUUUGUAUAAUUUCAUGUUUAUUGAUUCUCUAAUAAAUGCUUACUUAUGUGAUUUGUCUUCC